rnacentral:lncRNA from 1 species
UAGUGGGGUCCCAGGCAGGUCAUCACUGACCCUGCAUCCUCAUGGGGUGUGCCUGUCUGGCAGCCCCAAGGCCCCGGGGGUCCUGGGUGGUCCCUGACUGAAGCUGAUGCCAGGCUGGGUCUUCCCUGCUCCCAAGAGCGACCCUGAGGUGAGCAGGACCCCCUCCCCCGCUGAAGACCCUCCAGAGCAUUCUGGCCAUGCUGGGCAGAGCCUGGUGGAGGUUUCAGCCAAUGGGGACUGGAGGCCGGGCCUCAGCUUUCCAAGGAGCCGCCCUCACUGCAUUGGGCCCCUCGCUCUGGGUGGGAGAAGACAUUUUGUCUGACUUAGGCUCACUUCUGAAAGCCGCCCGCCCGCCCGCCUGCCUGCAGGUUCGGGGAGGCCCUGCAGGGGAACCUGGUCAUCGGCAUGCUGGCCUGGCCCUCCCCCUGGGUCAUCGUCAUCGGCUCCUUCUUCUCCACCUGCGGUGCCGGCCUGCAGAGCCUCACGGGGGCACCGCGCCUGCUGCAGGCCAUUGCCCGUGACGGCAUCAUCCCCUUCCUGCAGGUGUUUGGCCACGGGAAGGCCAACGGGGAGCCCUCGUGGGCGCUGCUGCUGACAGUCCUCAUCUGCGAGACUGGCAUCCUCAUCGCCUCUCUGGACAGCGUGGCCCCGAUCCUCU